rnacentral:rRNA from 1 species
UACGAAGGGGGCUAGCGUUGCUCGGAAUCACUGGGCGUAAAGCGCACGUAGGCGGGUUGGUAAGUCAGGGGUGAAAUCCUGGAGCUCAACUCCAGAACUGCCUUUGAUACUGGCGAUCUCGAGUCCGGGAGAGGUGAGUGGAACUGCGAGUGUAGAGGUGAAAUUCGUAGAUAUUCGCAAGAACACCAGUGGCGAAGGCGGCUCACUGGCCCGGUACUGACGCUGAGGUGCGAAAGCGUGGGGAGCAAACAGG